AUACGGAGGGUGCGAGCGUUGUUCGGAAUUAUUGGGCGUAAAGAGCAUGUAGGCGGUCUGUUAAGUCUGGUGUGAAAGCCUGGGGCUCAACCCCGGAAGUGCAUUGGAUACUGGCAGACUUGAGUAUGGGAGAGGAAAGCGGAAUUCCGAGUGUAGGAGUGAAAUCCGUAGAUAUUCGGAGGAACACCAGUGGCGAAGGCGGCUUUCUGGACCAAUACUGACGCUGAGAUGCGAAAGCGUGGGGAGCAAACAGAAUUAGAUACCCCGGUAGUCC
rnacentral:rRNA from 1 species